rnacentral:rRNA from 1 species
GAUGAACGCUGGCGGCGUGCUUAACACAUGCAAGUCGAACGGCAAGGCCCUGCUUGCGUGGGGUGCCCGAGUGGCGAACGGGUGAGUAACACGAGAGUAACCUGCCCUUGACUUUGGGAUAACUUCAGGAAACUGGGGCUAAUACCGGAUAGGAGCUCGUGCUGCAGGGUGGGGGUUGGAAAGUUUCGGCGGUUGGGGAUGGACGAGCGGCUUACCAGCUUGUUGGUGGGGUGGGGGCUUACCAAGGGUUUGACGGGUAGCCGGCCUGAGAGCGUGACCGGCCCCAUUACGACUGCGCUACGGCCCAGACUCCUACGGGAGGCAGCAGUGGGGAAUAUUGCCCAAUGGGCCGAAGUCUGAUGCAGCAACGCUGUGUUCGGGAUGACGGCCUUCUGGUUGUAAACCGCUUUCGCCUGUGACCAAGCGUGAGUGACGGUACUGGGUAAAUAAGCACCGGCUAACUACGUG